rnacentral:rRNA from 1 species
GAAGAAGGCUGGAGGCGUGCUUAACACAUGCAAGUCGAACGGAAAGGCCCUGCUUUUGUGGGGUGCUCGAGUGGCGAACGGGUGAGUAACACGUGAGUAACCUGCCCUUGACUUUGGGAUAACUUCAGGAAACUGGGGCUAAUACCGGAUAGGAGCUCCUGCUGCAUGGUGGGGGUUGGAAAGUUUCGGCGGUUGGGGAUGGACUCGCGGCUUAUCAGCUUGUUGGUGGGGUAGUGGCUUACCAAGGCUUUGACGGGUAGCCGGCCUGAGAGGGUGACCGGCCACAUUGGGACUGAGAUACGGCCCAGACUCCUACGGGAGGCAGCAGUGGGGAAUAUUGCACAAUGGGCGGAAGCCUGAUGCAGCAACGCCGCGUGCGGGAUGACGGCCUUCGGGUUGUAAACCGCUUUCGCCUGUGACGAAGCGUGAGUGACGGUAAUGGGUAAAGAAGCACCGGCUAACUACGUG